UACGUAGGGCGCAAGCGUUAUCCGGAAUUAUUGGGCGUAAAGAGCUCGUAGGCGGUUUGUCGCGUCUGCCGUGAAAGUCCGGGGCUCAACUCCGGAUCUGCGGUGGGUACGGGCAGACUAGAGUGAUGUAGGGGAGACUGGAAUUCCUGGUGUAGCGGUGAAAUGCGCAGAUAUCAGGAGGAACACCGAUGGCGAAGGCAGGUCUCUGGGCAUUAACUGACGCUGAGGAGCGAAAGCGUGGGGAGCAAACAGG
rnacentral:rRNA from 1 species